UACGGGGGGGGCAAGCGUUGUUCGGAAUUACUGGGCGUAAAGGGUUCGUAGGUGGCCAACUAAGUCAGACGUGAAAUCCCUCAGCUUAACUGGGGAACUGCGUCUGAGACUGGAUGGCUUGAGUGCAGGAGAGGAACGCGGAAUUCCAGGUGUAGCGGUGAAACGCGUAGAUAUCUGGAGGAACACCGGUGGCGAAGGCGGCAUCCUGGACCGGCAUUGACGCUGAGGCGCGAAAGCUAGGGGAGCAAACGGG
rnacentral:rRNA from 1 species